rnacentral:lncRNA from 1 species
GAGGAUGUGGAGGACCUCCUAAGUUGUGUAAGUAAAAGUUAAUCUUUUUGGACAAACUGAAGGCACCAAUGACUAAUGAUAAAUAUCGCAAUCUAAGAAAUGUGUCAAUUUCUCACAGGCUUGGAAAAAUUGGCACAAAGGAACAUCUAGACAUAUAAUAGAUCCAUCAUUGAGAUGUUCUGCUGGAUCCUUGCAUAACAUUAUGAGAUGCAUUCAUAUUGGUUUAUUAUGUGUUCAAGAAGAUGCAGCUGUUAGGCCUACAAUGGCAGCAAUAGUUCUUAUGCUCACGAGCCUCUCUAUAACUCUGCCGAUACCUUCACGGCCAGCAUUUUUUGUGUCUAGCAUAUUUGAUCCAAAAAUUUCAUUUCUUCAGGAACAAAAUUCAAGAUCAACAAAUGCCACAGAAUCAUCAAAGAACAGAUCAGGUAAUUCUACUGAUGCAUCUAUAAAUGAAGUCUCAAUGAGUGAUUUAUAUCCUCGAUAACUAAAAAUGAUUGACAUAUUCAUCAUUACAAGUUAUUUUCCAUAUACUUUUGUUUUUAUUGUUGAAUUAGAAUUGCCUUUAAGAACACUUGUCCUUGUUUCAUGAAUAAGCCUUCACAAUUCAAUAUUGUAAAGAUCGUUACUUCUUGUUUGUAAGUCAGCGGAAGUGUUAUAAGGUUCUAAUUGCACCAUAAGUGAAUUAAUAUAGUGAAAAUGUAUUGCUCAUGACGAAGAGCUUGGUAAUGAAGGACGUUGAUCAUUGGUUUAAAUUGAACCUCCACAAAUAUAUUGUUUGCAUAAUUUCUAACUUUGGCUUAUUGUUAUUUUGUUUAAACUUAUUAUUUGAUUGAUCUAUUUGUUCCUAACUUGCUUGAUAUUAGGUUUUGAAAAAGUUUUAUUCAAAUGUAGUUAAUCUCUCCAUUGUUGUUAGUCAAAUAUAUCAGAAAAUCUAAUCUGCACUUUAACUUUGACCAAAUGUCGAGAUAGCGUUUAACAUGGAAAAAAAUAUUAUGUGUUGGCAUGAGUCAUGGCAAAGGUAUUGUUAUUUGUUUAAAUAAAGUCACCCAACUUCCAUAUUUUGUUAGAUGAAUGUAUGAUUAAAAAUGAGUAUGUAAAAAAAAAAUUCAAAAAAUAAUUGUCAAAUAGGGGCUAAUUCGCUCUGGAUCCUGAAUUGUAUACAGAUCCAUAGGAAUAUGACCCGAUAAGACAUUAAAGUUCAACACUAUUAGCAUGAGUAGACAAACCCAAGUCGAAAAUCAAAACAAAUCAUAGUUCACACUAAACCCAAUUCCUAUAGCAUUGGCCAUUAGUUUCUCUUGAUUAAUUUGAAACCCUCACGGUGAAUUAAUCUCUAAUAAUCCCAAUUGGGUAGAUACCCUACAGACGAAGGAAAAAAAUCAGUGUUUCUAAGAUUUUUCAGUAAUGUAUAGAUCUGCACAACUUUGGGAAUGAUCAUUUUGAUGUCGUGGGCUUCUUGUACUCUUGCUGAUCUUCAAAUUGACGAUUUUAUGUAUUUCUGUAGAAUCUUUGUUAAAGAUUGGAGAUCUGGUUAUGCGAUUUUGUGAACAUUUCUUAUGAUAAGCUAUACAUACAUGCGCGGGCGAAUCCAGGAUUGAAGUCCAGUUAGGACAGAGGUUGACUAUUGACCAUCGAUCGUCGACAAUCAACGAUCAUAAUAGUCCGAUAGUUUAUUAAAAUUUGAUUAAAUAAUAUGGAAAGUUAUUCAAUAAUCAUUCCUCAUUAAAACAUAAAUUACUUAUCAUAAAUCACAAUUCGCAAACAUAAUUUUGAAAACAUAAAUUCCCAAAUCAAUAUUCAUUCCUCAUUAAAACAUAAAUUAUUUAUAAUAAAUCAUAAUUCGCAAACAUAAUUUCAUAAUCAUAAAUUCCCAAAACAUAAAUCAUUCCUCAUUAGAACAUAAAUUACUUAUGAUUUGCAAACAUAAUUUCAUAAACAUAAAUUCUCGAAACAAUAAUCAUUCCUUAUUAAAACAUAAAUUACUUAUAAUAAAUCACAAUUCCCAAACAUAAAUUCCCGAACAAUAAUCAUAACAUAAUUAACAUUCAUUAGUCAUUACUCAACAUCAACAAGUCAAAUAGCUAACAAAAUUAAACAAAAACAAGAAAAAUAAAAGGGAAAAAGAGUCACCAGUGACCAGACUCACAGCACUUAGACUCGGCUCGCAGUCGACAGCAGAAGCUGCAAAACACAUUGUCUGUGCUCACUGUGCUACUUCUUCAAUUUCAAAUGGAAAUUGGCAUUAUAGAAUGGGGACGGAGUCUCUGCCUAUCUGCACUGUGUGGAUUGGAUAAUGGAGAAGGGAGAAUUAUUGGAAAAUGGUUUGGCUUUCUUUCACGAUUUGGGAAUUGGGAAUUUGGAUUCUUUCUUUGCUCAGUGGUUGUGGUUGCCUUUGAAAGAAAAUGGUUGGGCAGUGGGCACUUGGGCCAAUUCCCAAUUCACGAACAAAUGGUUUGAUAUUGGAGUCUUGGACCAUUUGUUAAUUUCAUAUGAGAAUUCAAUUGGACAUUCGGUUUAGACAAAAAUAGGCCCAACAAUAAUUACUUCAGGCUUGAGCCCAUAUCAAAAACAAAAAAGAAAGGAAAAGGGGUCGUCUCUUUCCUUUGUCAUCUUCUUCUCUGGCUGGCUCUGCAAUUGGUAACUACAACUCCACAAUUUUGUAUCCAAUGAUUCUAAAGCUUUCGAUGGAGCCAGCAUGUGCGGCCACACCCCCUCGCCGGGUGUUGGCUUCCCGCCUACAUACAUGGUUCAAUUUGUUCAAGAUAUGUAGCUCAUAAAACUGACAGGAUUAUCGUUCAUAUAUUUAGAGCCCUU